rnacentral:rRNA from 1 species
UACAGAGGUCUCAAGCGUUGUUCGGAUUCAUUGGGCGUAAAGGGUGCGUAGGUGGCGCUGUAAGUCGGGUGUGAAAUUUCGGAGCUUAACUCCGAAACUGCAUUCGAUACUGCGGUGCUUGAGGACUGGAGAGGAGACUGGAAUUCAUGGUGUAGCAGUGAAAAUGCGUAGAGAUCAGGAAGAACACCCGUGGCGAAGGCGGCUCUCUGGGGACGGGUACUGACGCUGAGACGCGAAAAGCGUGGGGAGCGAACAGGG